rnacentral:rRNA from 1 species
GAUGAACGCUGGCGGCGUGCCUAAUACAUGCAAGUCGAGCGAACAGAUGAGGAGCUUGCUCCUCUGACGUUAGCGGCGGACGGGUGAUUAACACGUGGAUAACCUACCUAUAAGACUGGGAUAACUUCGGGAAACCGUAGCUAAUACCGGAUAAUAUAUUGAACCGCAUGGUUCAAUAGUGAAAGACGGUUUUGCUGUCACUUAUAGAUGGAUCCGCGCCGCAUUAGCUAGUUGGUAAGGUAACGGCUUACCAAGGCAACGAUGCGUAGCCGACCUGAGAGGGUGAUCGGCCACACUGGAACUGAGACACGGUCCAGACUCCUACGGGAGGCAGCAGUAGGGAAUCUUCCGCAAUGGGCGAAAGCCUGACGGAGCAACGCCGCGUGAGUGAUGAAGGUCUUCGGAUCGUAAAACUCUGUUAUUAGGGAAGAACAAAUGUGUAAGUAACUAUGCACGUCUUGACGGUACCUAAUCAGAAAGCCACGGCUAACUACGUG